UACGGAGGGUGCUAGCGUUGUUCGGAAUUAUUGGGCGUAAAGAGCGUGUAGGCGGCCUCGUAAGUCAGAUGUGAAAGCCCUUGGCUUAACCAAGGAAGUGCAUUUGAAACUGCUUGGCUUGAGUACGGGAGGGGAAAGCGGAAUUCCCGGUGUAGAGGUGAAAUUCGUAGAUAUCGGGAGGAACACCGGUGGCGAAGGCGGCUUUCUGGACCGAUACUGACGCUGAGACGCGAAAGCGUGGGGAGCAAACAGG
rnacentral:rRNA from 1 species